CGCGGUAAUAUGACCGUGCUAAGGUAGCAUAGUCAAUAGUCUUUUAAUUGAAGGCUUGAAUGAAUGGUUGGACGAGAUGUAAGCUGUCUCCUAAUUAAAUCUAAAAUUUAACUUUUGAGUGAAAAGGCUCAAAUUAAGUAGUGGGACGAUAAGACCCUGUAAAACUUUAUAUGAUUAGGUCUAAAUUGAUUGUUUUUUGAAAGUUGAUUUUAACUGAUUAAUAUUUCGUUGGGGCGACGUAGAUAGAAUUUGUAACUGUUUAUUUAAUUAAAUAAUUUUAGUUAGUUUUUGAUCCUUCUUUGGGGAUAGAAAGAAUAAGUUACUUCAGGGAUAACAGCGUAAUUUUCUUUAAGAGUUCUUAUCGACAAGAGUAGUUGCGACCUCGAUGUUGAAUUAA
rnacentral:rRNA from 1 species